GGAUUAGAUACCCUGGUAGUCCACGCUGUAAACGAUGUCGAUUUGAAGGUUGUUCCCUUGAGGAGUGGCUUUCGGAGCUAACGCGUUAAAUCGACCGCCUGGGGAGUACGGCCGCAAGGUUAAAACUCAAAUGAAUUGACGGGGGCCCGCACAAGCGGUGGAGCAUGUGGUUUAAUUCGAUGCAACGCGAAGAACCUUACCUACUCUUGACAUCCAGAGAACUUAGCAGAGAUGCUUUGGUGCCUUCGGGAACUCUGAGACAGGUGCUGCAUGGCUGUCGUCAGCUCGUGUUGUGAAAUGUUGGGUUAAGUCCCGCAACGAGCGCAACCCUUAUCCUUUGUUGCCAGCGAUUCGGUCGGGAACUCAAAGGAGACUGCCGGUGAUAAACCGGAGGAAGGUGGGGAUGACGUCAAGUCAUCAUGGCCCUUACGAGUAGGGCUACACACGUGCUACAAUGGCGUAUACAAAGAGAAGCGACCUCGCGAGAGCAAGCGGAACUCAUAAAGUACGUCGUAGUCCGGAUUGGAGUCUGCAACUCGACUCCAUGAAGUCGGAAUCGCUAGUAAUCGUAGAUCAGAAUGCUACGGUGAAUACGUUCCCGGGCCUUGUACACACCGCCCGUCACACCAUGGGAGUGGGUUGCAAAAGAAGUAGGUAGCUUAACCUUCGG
rnacentral:rRNA from 1 species